UACAGAGGGGGCAAGCGUUGUCCGGAUUUACUGGGCGUACAGCGCGCGCAGGCGGUUGCGUAUGUGAGCGGUGACAUCCGCGGGCUCAACCCGCGGCGGCCCGCUUACACAGCGCGACUGGAGGCAGGGAGAGGGAUGUGGAAUACCCGGUGGAGCGGUGAAAUGCGUAGAGAUCGGGUGGAACACCCGCGGCGAAGGCGGCAUCCUGGGCCUGUCCUGACGCUGAGGCGCGAUAGCGUGGGGAGCAAACAGG
rnacentral:rRNA from 1 species